rnacentral:rRNA from 1 species
AACGAACGCUGGCGGCAGGCUUAACACAUGCAAGUCGAACGCCCCGCAAGGGGAGUGGCAGACGGGUGAGUAACGCGUGGGAAUCUACCCAUCUCUGCGGAAUAGCUCUGGGAAACUGGAAUUAAUACCGCAUACGCCCUACGGGGGAAAGAUUUAUCGGGGAUGGAUGAGCCCGCGUUGGAUUAGCUAGUUGGUGGGGUAAAGGCCUACCAAGGCGACGAUCCAUAGCUGGUCUGAGAGGAUGAUCAGCCACAUUGGGACUGAGACACGGCCCAAACUCCUACGGGAGGCAGCAGUGGGGAAUAUUGGACAAUGGGCGCAAGCCUGAUCCAGCCAUGCCGCGUGAGUGAUGAAGGCCUUAGGGUUGUAAAGCUCUUUCACCGAUGAAGAUAAUGACGGUAGUCGGAGAAGAAGCCCCGGCUAACUUCGUGCCAGCAGCCGCCGCGG